GGGCUGGUAGUUCAAUUGGUUAGAGCACUGCCCUGUCACGGCAGAAGUUGCGGGUUCGAGUCCCGUCCGNNGGCCCGCCA
rnacentral:tRNA from 1 species